rfam:Puccinia sorghi strain RO10H11247 Scaffold_8406, whole genome shotgun sequence.
GCACACUUAGCUCAAUGUUUAGAGCAUCCCUCAUGAAUGCUGAGGUUGUGGGUUUGAGUCCCACAGUACACA